CCUACGGGGCGCAGCAGUGGGGAAUAUUGCACAAUGGGGGAAACCCUGAUGCAGCGACGCCGCGUGAGUGAAGAAGUAUUUCGGUAUGUAAAGCUCUAUCAGCAGGAAAGAAAAAAGACGGUACCUGACUAAGAAGCCCCGGCUAACUACGUGCCAGCAGCCGCGGUAAUACGAAGGGGGCAAGCGUUAUCCGGAUUUACUGGGUGUAAAGGGAGCGGAAACGGUAUGGCAAGUCUGAAGUGAAAGCCCAGGGCUUA
rnacentral:rRNA from 1 species